GAUCUCCUUUCUGAAGAAGAAUCAGUUCGUAAGCCUGACAAUGACAAUACCAAUGAUAAUGAUGAGGAAUUCAUCCCGCCCGAACGCAAGCGCCGGAGCAAUGCUGAUGAACAAAUACAUACUGAAUUUAUAAACGAAGACUUGAAUAUACUUAAUGUAGCGCUUUCUGAUG